rnacentral:rRNA from 1 species
GAGGGUGCAAGCGUUAAUCGGAAUUAGCUGGGCGUAAAGCGCACGCAGGCGGUCUGUCAAGUCGGAUGUGAAAUCCCCGGGCUCAACCUGGGAACUGCAUUCGAAACUGGCAGGCUGGAGUGUCGUAGAGGGAGGUAGAAUUCCAGGUGUAGCGGUGAAAUGCGUAGAGAUCUGGAGGAAUACCGGUGGCGAAGGCGGCCUCCUGGACGAAGACUGACGCUCAGGUGCGAAAGCGUGGGGAGCAAACAGGAUUAGAUACCAUGGUAGUCCACGCUGUAAACGAUGUCGAUUUGGACGUUGUGCCCUUGAGGCGUGGCUUCCGGAGAUAACGCGUUAAAUCGACCGCCUGGGGAGUACGGCCGCAAGGUUAAAACUCAAAUGAAUUGACGGGGGCCCGCACAAGCGGUGGAGCAUGUGGUUUAAUUCGAUGCAACGCGAAGAACCUUACCUGGUCUUGACAUCCACAGAAGUUUCCAGAGAUGGGAAUGUGCCUUCGGGAACUGUGAGACAGGUGAUGCAUGGCUGUCGUCAGCUCGUGUUGUGAAAUGUUGGGUUAAGUCCCGCAACGAGCGCAACCCUUAUCCUUUGUUGCCAGCGGUCCGGCCGGGAACUCAAAGGAGACUGCCAGUGAUAAACUGGAGGAAGGUGGGGAUGACGUCAAGUCAUCAUGGCCAUUACGACCAGGGAUACACACGUGCUACAAUGGCGCAUACAAAGAGAAGAGACCUCGCGAGAGCAAGCGGACCUCAUAAAGUGCGUCGUAGUCCGGAUUGGAGUCUGCAACUCGACUCCAUGAAGUC